rnacentral:lncRNA from 1 species
UCGAACCAAGACCUAAUAUUUCAGCUAUGGGAGAAAACGACAUUGAUGUUAAGGAAAAUAAGGGAAACAUUGAAGAUUUCGAACCAAGACCUAACAUUUCAGCUUAUGGAGAAAACAACUUUGAUGAUAAGGAAAAUAAUGGGGCCAUCGAAGAUUUCGAACCAAGACCUAAUAUUUCAGCUUAUGGAGAAAACAACAUUGAUUUUAAGGAAAAGAAGGGAGCCAUUGAAGAAUUUGAACCAAGACCUAACAUUUCAGCUUAUGGAGAAAACAAUGUUGAUGUUAAAGAAAAGAGUGGGGCCAUAGAAGAUUUCGAACCAAGACCUAAUAUUUCAGCUUAUGGAGAAAACAACAUUGAUAUUAAGGAAAAGAAGGGAGCAAUUGAAGAUUUCAAACCAAGACCUAACAUUUCAGCCUAUGUAGGAAAUGACAUUGAUGUUAAGGAAAAGAAGGGAGACAUUGAAGAUUUUGAACCAAGACCUAACAUUUCAGCUUAUGGAAAUAACAACAUUGAUGUUAAGGAAAAGAAUAAGACCAUUAAAGAUUUCGAGCCAAGAC